rnacentral:rRNA from 1 species
CAGCAGUCGCCGCGGUAAUACGAAGGGGGCUAGCGUUGUUCGGAAUUACUGGGCGUAAAGCGCACGUAGGCGGAUAUUUAAGUCAGGGGUGAAAUCCCGCAGCUCAACUGCGGAACUGCCUUUGAUACUGGGUAUCUUGAGUAUGGAAGAGGUGAGUGGAAUUCCGAGUGUAGAGGUGAAAUUCGUAGAUAUUCGGAGGAACACCAGUGGCGAAGGCGGCUCACUGGUCCAUUACUGACGCUGAGGUGCGAAAGCGUGGGGAGCAAACAGGAUUAGAUACCCGUGUAGUCCCUGUCUCUUAUAC